UGCCGGCGACCGGCGCACGGGUGAGUAACGCGUAUGCGACCUGCCCCCCGCAGGGGGAUAACCGGGAGAAAUCCCGACUAAUACCGCGUAACGCCGCGGACCUGCAUGGGUCUGCGGCCAAAGGAAGCGAUUCCGGCGGGGGAUGGGCAUGCGGCGCAUUAGCUAGUCGGCGGGGUAACGGCCCACCGAGGCGACGAUGCGUAGGGGUUCUGAGAGGAAGGUCCCCCACACUGGUACUGAGACACGGACCAGACUCCUACGGGAGGCAGCAG
rnacentral:rRNA from 1 species